rnacentral:tRNA from 1 species
GCCCGAGUGGUGGAAUGGCAUACACGCACGACUCAAAAUCGUGUGCCGCAAGGCUUGUGGGUUCAAGUCCCACCUCGGGCACCA